GGAUGAUAUAGGGAUGAGUAUAAAAGAAAUUUAGCACAUUCCUUAUUUAUAAGUGCGAUAUUACUAGUCUUAUAUCGUUAUAGCAUAUCAAGAAUAUUUUUUUCUAAUUGAUUAACUAACGGAGCUAAACGAAAAUGGACCAAUAUUUGGGAAAGAAA
rnacentral:lncRNA from 1 species